UGGGGAAUUUUGGACAAUGGGCGAAAGCCUGAUCCAGCAAUGCCGCGUGUGUGAAGAAGGCCUUCGGGUUGUAAAGCACUUUUGUCCGGAAAGAAAUCCUUGGCUCUAAUACAGUCGGGGGAUGACGGUACCGGAAGAAUAAGCACCGGCUAACUACGUGCCAGCAGCCGCGGUAAUACGUAGGGUGCAAGCGUUAAUCGGAAUUACUGGGCGUAAAGCGUGCGCAGGCGGUUUGCUAAGACCGAUGUGAAAUCCCCGGGCUCAACCUGGGAACUGCAUUGGUGACUGGCAGGCUAGAGUAUGGCAGAGGGGGGUAGAAUUCCACGUGUAGCAGUGAAAUGCGUAGAGAUGUGGAGGAAUACCGAUGGCGAAGGCAGCCCCCUGGGCCAAAUACUGACGCUCAUGCACGAAAAGCGUGGGGAGCAAAACAGGAUUAGAUACCCUGGUAGUCCACGCCCUAAAACGAUGUCAACUAGUUGUUGGGGAUUCAUUUCCUUAGUAACGUAGCUAAACGCGUGAAGUUGACCGCCUGGGGAGUACGGUCGCAAGAUUAAAACUCAAAUGAAUUGACGGGGUCAUAGCUGUUUCCU
rnacentral:rRNA from 1 species